GGGUUGUGAGGUUAAGCGACUAAGCGUACACGGUGGAUGCCCUGGCAGUCAGAGGCGAUGAAGGACGUGCUAAUCUGCGAUAAGCGUCGGUGAGGUGAUAUGAACCGUUAUAACCGGCGAUUUCCGAAUGGGGAAACCCAGUGUGUUUCGACACACUAUCAUUAACUGAAUCCAUAGGUUAAUGAGGCGAACCGGGGGAACUGAAACAUCUAAGUACCCCGAGGAAAAGAAAUCAACCGAGAUUCCCCCAGUAGCGGCGAGCGAACGGGGAGGAGCCCAGAGCCUGAAUCAGUGUGUGUGUUAGUGGAAGCGUCUGGAAAGGCGUGCGAUACAGGGUGACAGCCCCGUACACAAAAAUGCACAUAUUGUGAGCUCGAUGAGUAGGGCGGGACACGUGGUAUCCUGUCUGAAUAUGGGGGGACCAUCCUCCAAGGCUAAAUACUCCUGACUGACCGAUAGUGAACCAGUACCGUGAGGGAAAGGCGAAAAGAACCCCGGCGAGGGGAGUGAAAAAGAACCUGAAACCGUGUACGUACAAGCAGUGGGAGCCUCUUAAUGGGGUGACUGCGUACCUUUUGUAUAAUGGGUCAGCGACUUAUAUUCUGUAGCAAGGUUAACCGAAUAGGGGAGCCGAAGGGAAACCGAGUCUUAACUGGGCGUUAAGUUGCAGGGUAUAGACCCGAAACCCGGUGAUCUAGCCAUGGGCAGGUUGAAGGUUGGGUAACACUAACUGGAGGACCGAACCGACUAAUGUUGAAAAAUUAGCGGAUGACUUGUGGCUGGGGGUGAAAGGCCAAUCAAACCGGGAGAUAGCUGGUUCUCCCCGAAAGCUAUUUAGGUAGCGCCUCGUGAAUUCAUCUCCGGGGGUAGAGCACUGUUUCGGCAAGGGGGUCAUCCCGACUUACCAACCCGAUGCAAACUGCGAAUACCGGAGAAUGUUAUCACGGGAGACACACGGCGGGUGCUAACGUCCGUCGUGAAGAGGGAAACAACCCAGACCGCCAGCUAAGGUCCCAAAGUCAUGGUUAAGUGGGAAACGAUGUGGGAAGGCCCAGACAGCCAGGAUGUUGGCUUAGAAGCAGCCAUCAUUUAAAGAAAGCGUAAUAGCUCACUGGUCGAGUCGGCCUGCGCGGAAGAUGUAACGGGGCUAAACCAUGCACCGAAGCUGCGGCAGCGACACUAUGUGUUGUUGGGUAGGGGAGCGUUCUGUAAGCCUGUGAAGGUGGCCUGUGAGGGUUGCUGGAGGUAUCAGAAGUGCGAAUGCUGACAUAAGUAACGAUAAAGCGGGUGAAAAGCCCGCUCGCCGGAAGACCAAGGGUUCCUGUCCAACGUUAAUCGGGGCAGGGUGAGUCGACCCCUAAGGCGAGGCCGAAAGGCGUAGUCGAUGGGAAACAGGUUAAUAUUCCUGUACUUGGUGUUACUGCGAAGGGGGGACGGAGAAGGCUAUGUUGGCCGGGCGACGGUUGUCCCGGUUUAAGCGUGUAGGCUGGUUUUCCAGGCAAAUCCGGAAAACCAAGGCUGAGGCGUGAUGACGAGGCACUACGGUGCUGAAGCGACAAAUGCCCUGCUUCCAGGAAAAGCCUCUAAGCAUCAGGUAACAUCAAAUCGUACCCCAAACCGACACAGGUGGUCAGGUAGAGAAUACCAAGGCGCUUGAGAGAACUCGGGUGAAGGAACUAGGCAAAAUGGUGCCGUAACUUCGGGAGAAGGCACGCUGAUAUGUAGGUGAAGCGACUUGCUCGUGGAGCUGAAAUCAGUCGAAGAUACCAGCUGGCUGCAACUGUUUAUUAAAAACACAGCACUGUGCAAACACGAAAGUGGACGUAUACGGUGUGACGCCUGCCCGGUGCCGGAAGGUUAAUUGAUGGGGUUAGCGGCAACGCGAAGCUCUUGAUCGAAGCCCCGGUAAACGGCGGCCGUAACUAUAACGGUCCUAAGGUAGCGAAAUUCCUUGUCGGGUAAGUUCCGACCUGCACGAAUGGCGUAAUGAUGGCCAGGCUGUCUCCACCCGAGACUCAGUGAAAUUGAACUCGCUGUGAAGAUGCAGUGUACCCGCGGCAAGACGGAAAGACCCCGUGAACCUUUACUAUAGCUUGACACUGAACAUUGAGCCUUGAUGUGUAGGAUAGGUGGGAGGCUUUGAAGUGUGGACGCCAGUCUGCAUGGAGCCGACCUUGAAAUACCACCCUUUAAUGUUUGAUGUUCUAACGUUGGCCCGUAAUCCGGGUUGCGGACAGUGUCUGGUGGGUAGUUUGACUGGGGCGGUCUCCUCCUAAAGAGUAACGGAGGAGCACGAAGGUUGGCUAAUCCUGGUCGGACAUCAGGAGGUUAGUGCAAUGGCAUAAGCCAGCUUGACUGCGAGCGUGACGGCGCGAGCAGGUGCGAAAGCAGGUCAUAGUGAUCCGGUGGUUCUGAAUGGAAGGGCCAUCGCUCAACGGAUAAAAGGUACUCCGGGGAUAACAGGCUGAUACCGCCCAAGAGUUCAUAUCGACGGCGGUGUUUGGCACCUCGAUGUCGGCUCAUCACAUCCUGGGGCUGAAGUAGGUCCCAAGGGUAUGGCUGUUCGCCAUUUAAAGUGGUACGCGAGCUGGGUUUAGAACGUCGUGAGACAGUUCGGUCCCUAUCUGCCGUGGGCGCUGGAGAACUGAGGGGGGCUGCUCCUAGUACGAGAGGACCGGAGUGGACGCAUCACUGGUGUUCGGGUUGUCAUGCCAAUGGCACUGCCCGGUAGCUAAAUGCGGAAGAGAUAAGUGCUGAAAGCAUCUAAGCACGAAACUUGCCCCGAGAUGAGUUCUCCCUGACUCCUUGAGGGUCCUGAAGGAACGUUGAAGACGACGACGUUGAUAGGCCGGGUGUGUAAGCGCAGCGAUGCGUUGAGCUAACCGGUACUAAUGAACCGUGAGGCUUAACCUUACAACGCCGAAG
rnacentral:rRNA from 2 species